GUAGGUGGCAAGCGUUGUCCGGAAUUAUUGGGCGUAAAGCGCGCGCAGGCGGUUCUUUAAGUCUGAUGUGAAAGCCCACGGCUCAACCGUGGAGGGUCAUUGGAAACUGGAGAACUUGAGUACAGAAGAGGAAAGCGGAAUUCCACGUGUAGCGGUGAAAUGCGUAGAGAUGUGGAGGAACACCAGUGGCGAAGGCGGCUUUCUGGUCUGUAACUGACGCUGAGGCGCGAAAGCGUGGGGAGCAAACAGGGAUUAGAUACCCUGGUAGUCCACGCCGUAAACGAUGAGUGCUAAGUGUUAGGGGGGGUUUCCGCCCCCUUAGUGCUGCAGCUAACGCAUUAAGCACUCGCCUGGGGAUACGGCCGCAAGGCUG
rnacentral:rRNA from 1 species